GAUGAUCAGACCGUCAGGUCAAACAGAGUCGAAGCUUCGUUCUGUUCGUACGCCGCGGACCGGUGAGUACACGUGGGCAACCUGCCUGUAGACGGGGAUAACACCGAGAAAUCGGCUAAUACCGGAUAACACGGAAUGUCGCAUGACGUUUCGUUGAAAGGCGGCGCACGUGUCGCUACAGGAUGGGCCCGCGCGCAUUAGCUAGUUGGUGAGGUAACGGCUCACCAAGGCGACGAUGCGUACGCGACCUGAGAGGGUGAUCGGCCACACUGGGACUGAGACACGGCCCAGACUCCUACGGGAGGCAGCAGUAGGGAAUCUUCCGCAAUGGACGAAAGUCUUGACGGAGCAACGCCGCGUGACGAAAGAAGGCCUUCCGGUCGUAAGCUCUGUUGUUAGGGAGAACAAGUAGCCCAGUAACUGGCGUUACCUGACGGUACCAAGCAGAAAGCCACGGCUACUACGUGCCAGCAGCCGCGGAAUUACGUAGUGGCAGCUUGUCCGGAUUAUGGGCGUAACGCACGCAGCGGUCCUUAAGUCUAUGUGAAGCACGGUCAACCCUGAGGGCCUUGGAACUGGGGAUCUAAGUCACAGAAGGAAGCGAUCACCUUAUCGUAAAUCAUAAGAUUUGAGACCAGUAGACGGGCUUUGCUUGAUUUCAAUAGCAGCAGUGGGAGACAAAGAUACCUGUGCUUCCAAAAAUAUGAGUGAAUGAGACUCCAUUGUGAGGGAAUCCCCUGACGAAGAAGAUAAGAGUCGGGGGGGGGAUGAAGCAGAGCGAGCACAUCCUC
rnacentral:rRNA from 1 species